GUGGGGAAUAUUGCACAAUGGGCGAAAGCCUGAUGCAGCGACGCCGCGUGAGCGAAGAAGUAUUUCGGUAUGUAAACUUCUAUCAGCAGGGAAGAUAAUGACGGUACCUGACUAAGAAGCCCCGGCUAACUACGUGCCAGCAGCCGCGGUAAUACGUAGGGGGCAAGCGUUAUCCGGAUUUACUGGGUGUAAAGGGAGCGUAGACGGCGCAGCAAGUCUGAGGUGAAAGGCAGGGGCUUAACCCCUGGACUGCAUUGGAAACUGCUGUGCUUGAGUGCCGGAGGGGUAAGCGGAAUUCCUAGUGUAGCGGUGAAAUGCGUAGAUAUUAGGAGGAACACCAGUGGCGAAGGCGGCUUACUGGACGGUAACUGACGUUGAGGCUCGAAAGCGUGGGGAGCAAACAGGAUUAGAUACCCGGGUAGUCC
rnacentral:rRNA from 1 species